AUUAUUGCUGUGAAGAGGAAUAGUAAGUAUAGUGAUUUCAUUUAGAGAGGGAAUGCUUGGUGAAAGUUCCUAGAAAUUAUAUACUGAACCAGCCUUGGAGUUCUGUACCGAAAUAAUAGUAGGCUACAGCGGGUAUUUCCGUUAUAGAUAAAGAGAGAUUAUAAGAUUAUUGCGCGCAAUUUUAUAAUAAUUAGGGUGGUAACGCCAAGAAGGGUCCCUUUU
rnacentral:ncRNA from 1 species